GUACCCCAAACCGACACAGGUGGUCAGGUAGAGAAUACCAAGGCGCUUGAGAGAACUCGGGUGAAGGAACUAGGCAAAAUGGUGCCGUAACUUCGGGAGAAGGCACGCUGGCAUGUAGGUGAAGUCCCCCGCGGAUGGAGCUGAAGCCAGUCGAAGAUACCAGCUGGCUGCAACUGUUUAAUAAAAACACAGCACUGUGCAAACACGAAAGUGGACGUAUACGGUGUGACGCCUGCCCGGUGCUGGAAGGUUAAUUG
rnacentral:rRNA from 1 species